AGAUGUUGAUUGCCAUCGGUUGUUGCGGGAAACAUCGGGAGGCGACAUCCCUCGUGGCAGCUGAUGGCUUUUGGCAACAAAAUGGCAAAGCAUCGUGCAAGUAGCACCGCAAGGUGCCAUGCGCAUGGGGUGAAGCUUAGUAUGUUUUCGAUUGCCAUCGGUUGUUGCGGGCAACAUCGGGAGUUGACAUCGCUCGUGGUGGCUGAUGGCUUUUGGCAACAAAAUGGCAAAGCAUCGUGCAAGUAGCGCCGCAAGGUGCCGUGCGCGCGGGGCAAAGCUUAGUAAGUUGUCGAUUGCCAUCGGUUUGUGCGGGAAACAUCGGGAGGCGACAUAGCUAGUGGCGGCUGAUGGCUUUUGGCAACAAAAUGGCAAAGCAUUUUGCAAGUAUCGCCGCAAGGUGUCGUUCGCACGGGGCGAAGCUUAGUAAGUUACCGAUUGCCAUCGGUUGUUGCGGGCAACAUCGGGAGGCGACAUUGCUCGUGGCGGCUGAUGGCUUUUGGCAACAAAAUGGCAAAGCAUCGUGCAAGUAGCGCCACAAGGUGCCGUGCGCACGGAGCGAAGCUUAGUAAGUUGCCGAUUGCCAUCGGUUGUUGCGGUAAACAUCGGGAGGCGACAUCGCUAGUGGCGGCUGAUGGCUUUUGGCAAC
rnacentral:lncRNA from 1 species